UAAAUAUCUUGGUUUCUCACCCACGAAUUGGGAUUGUGAUGCUUAUGUAUUCAAAUGGUCUAAUAGAAGCAAGAACCACUCAUAGGGCUUCUCUUACUUGGCAUGCAAUGGUGCUUCUAUAUACUUGCUCCAAUGACAUGCCAAAGGAGAGUUGCCCUAUGAGUGAUUUAGCUUAGUACUAAUAUUUUGAAAUUAUAGCAAACUCUUCUAGUUGUGCUCCUUAUUUUGUUCCUAAUCCGGCAUAUGAAGCAUGGUUACAAUAGAAGGAAAUGAAAACUUUCGACUCCUAAAGGUACCAAACUCGUUUUAUUAAGCCAUCUUAUGCUCCAUUUCAUCUUUCGUGAUUAUUUUGAUGGACACUUCGGUUUCUUUUCUUUUUCCUUUUUUUUUAAUUCAAGGGUAAUUUAUGUUAUUUCAG
rnacentral:lncRNA from 1 species